GACGAACGCUGGCGGCGUGCUUAACACAUGCAAGUCGAACGGAAAGGCCCUGCUUUUGUGGGGUGCUCGAGUGGCGAACGGGUGAGUAACACGUGAGUAACCUGCCCUUGACUUUGGGAUAACUUCAGGAAACUGGGGCUAAUACCGGAUAGGAGCUCCUGCUGCAUGGUGGGGGUUGGAAAGUUUCGGCGGUUGGGGAUGGACUCGCGGCUUAUCAGCUUGUUGGUGGGGUAGUGGCUUACCAAGGCUUUGACGGGUAGCCGGCCUGAGAGGGUGACCGGCCACAUUGGGACUGAGAUACGGCCCAGACUCCUACGGGAGGCAGCAGUGGGGAAUAUUGCACAAUGGGCGGAAGCCUGAUGCAGCAACGCCGCGUGCGGGAUGACGGCCUUCGGGUUGUAAACCGCUUUCGCCUGUGACGAAGCGUGAGUGACGGUAAUGGGUAAAGAAGCACCAGCUAACUACG
rnacentral:rRNA from 1 species